rnacentral:rRNA from 1 species
AAACUUUUUAGCUAGAGUAUGAUAGAGGAAAGCAGAAUUUCUAGUGUAGAGGUGAAAUUCGUAGAUAUUAGAAAGAAUACCAAUUGCGAAGGCAGCUUUCUGGAUCAUUACUGACACUGAGGAACGAAAGCAUGGGUAGCGAAGAGGAUUAGAUACCCUCGUAGUCCAUGCCGUAAACGAUGUGUGUUAGAUGUUGGAAAUUUAUUUUCAGUAUCGCAGUGAAAACAAUAAACACACCGCCUGGGGAGUACGACCGCAAGGUUAAAACUCAAAUGAAUUGACGGGGACCCGCACAAGUAGUGGAGCAUGUGGUUUAAUUCGAAGAUACGCGCAGAACCUUACCAACACUUGACAUGUUCGUCGCGACUCUAAGAGAUUAGAGUUUUCGGUUCGGCCGGACGAAACACAGGUGCUGCAUGGCUGUCGUCAGCUCGUGUCGUGAGAUGUUGGGUUAAGUCCCGCAACGAGCGCAACCCUCACUUUUAGUUGCCAUCAUUAAGUUGGGCACUCUGAAAGAACUGCCAGUGAUAAGCUGGAGGAAGGCGAGGAUGACGUCAAGUCCUCAUGGCCCUUACGUGUUGGGCUACACACGUGCUACAAUGGCAUUUACAAUAGGAAGCAAGAUGGCGACAUCAAGCAAAUCCUAAAAAAAUGCCUCAGUUCGGAUUGUACUCUGCAACUCGAGUACAUGAAGCUGGAAUUACUAGUAAUCGCGGAUCAGCGCGCCGCGGUGAAUACGUUCCCGGGUCUUGUACACACCGCCCGUCACACCAUGGGAGUUGGUUCUACCUUAAGGCAAAGAUUAAAACCUUUGACCACGGUAUAGUCAGCGACUGGGGUGAAGUCGUAACAAGGUAGCCGUAGGGGAACCUGCGGCUG